rnacentral:rRNA from 1 species
UUGAACGCUGGCGGCAGGCCUAACACAUGCAAGUCGAGCGGAUGAAGGGAGCUUGCUCCUGGAUUCAGCGGCGGACGGGUGAGUAAUGCCUAGGAAUCUGCCUGGUAGUGGGGGAUAACGUCCGGAAACGGGCGCUAAUACCGCAUACGUCCUGAGGGAGAAAGUGGGGGAUCUUCGGACCUCACGCUAUCAGAUGAGCCUAGGUCGGAUUAGCUAGUUGGUGGGGUAAAGGCCUACCAAGGCGACGAUCCGUAACUGGUCUGAGAGGAUGAUCAGUCACACUGGAACUGAGACACGGUCCAGACUCCUACGGGAGGCAGCAGUGGGGAAUAUUGGACAAUGGGCAAAAGCCUGAUCCAGCCAUGCCGCGUGUGUGAAGAAGGUCUUCGGAUUGUAAAGCACUUUAAGUUGGGAGGAAGGGCAGUAAGUUAAUACCUUGCUGUUUUGACGUUACCAACAGAAUAAGCACCGGCUAACUUCGUG